rnacentral:rRNA from 1 species
ACGCUCGACACCUACGUGGAGGCAGCAGUGGGGGAUAUUGCACAAUGGGGGAAACCCUGAUGCAGCAACGCCGCGUGAGGGAAGAAGGUUUUCGGAUUGUAAACCUCUGUCCUUGGUGACGAUAAUGACGGUAGCCAAGGAGGAAGCUCCGGCUAACUACGUGCCAACAGCCGCGGUAAUCUGAGCGGGCUGGCAAGGC